CCUACGGGAGGCAGCAGUGGGGAAUAUUGGACAAUGGGGGGAACCCUGAUCCAGCCAUGCCGCGUGUGUGAAGAAGGCCUUUUGGUUGUAAAGCACUUUAAGCGAGGAGGAGGCGCUCUAGGAUAAUACCCUAGAUGCGUGGACGUUACUCGCAGAAUAAGCACCGGCUAACUCUGUGCCAGCAGCCGCGGUAAU
rnacentral:rRNA from 1 species